CCCGCCUGCUCUCUUGCUGGUCGCAGCGCCCGGCCUUCAGCCCUCUCCACAUCCGUAGUCUCGGAGCGCUGAGUGGAACGACUUGUCCUCAGCGGCUGCCUGGGAGUUCAAAGGGCCACUCAGCUUUGAGAGCCCGGGAGACCUACAUUUGUCCGCUUGAGUGAGGGGUUUGGUUUGGUCAGGAGGCGAAGUUCCGGCCCGCAGAGUUACAAAAGAAAAUGGAGGUGGACAAACCUGUAAAAACUAAGAAGAGAGUGAGGCUGUUGUCCAAACCUGAGGUGAUAAUAGAAAGAGAUGACAUUAUCAGGAUGACUGAAAUGGCUCAAUCUGUAUCUGAAGAGGUCAUCUUGGCUGCUGUUCAGACUGUGGAAGACAUUGAACAUCCCGUCAAAAACAUCAGGUGGAUCACACAUGGUGAAUUCACAGUGGAAGGGGGACGACUGCACAUUGAGAAGUUCAUUUCACAGCUUGCCAUAUUGCCUGCCGAUCCUGGGAUUCAUCAGCCUCCACAGCCUGUGAGCAAGCAUCCUGCCAUCUGACCUGCGAGUAUUGGGUUCGUCAGCCCCUGCAGCUACCUGAGUCAGGAGAAGCCUCCAGCCUGGUGCCUGACCCAUGGACUUGGGACUUGCCAGCCUCUACAACCGCGUGAGCCAUUUCCUUGAUAUAAAUCUUUCUCUCUCUCUCUCUAUAUAUAUGUACAUACAUGCUUCACUGGUUUUACUUCUCUAGAGAACCCAGCCUAAGACACGCCCCAAUGCCUAACAUACAGUUAAAAUUAUUUUUAUGAAAAAAAUAAAAUAUAUCAGUAUAAAAAAAUCUAAUGAGCAGAAAGACACAAAGUACAAAAUGAAAGUUCUCCCUCCACCCCUACAAAAGUCACUUACCGUUGAGAACAGUUUUGUGCAUAUCCUUCUCGGUGCUUGUUGAUUUUGAGGGUCCGAUAAUAUGUAAUUAGCUAAGCCAUCCCAGGUAUAGUAGCACAGUGAGAUACUAUUUCUUGGAAGUGAGUAUAUGAAGUAAAACAGUGUUAUGUAAAAAUUACAAAGCACGAGGAGAGAACCCACUAACUGGAGCUCCAUAAAAGUUCGUUGCCUGUACAUUGAUAAAAAUGGGAAGCUUAGUCUUAUGGAAAUAGUUGAAUUCAAUGUUGUAUCUAAUCAAAAGGGAGUAAAAAAAACAUUAAGAACCAAAUUGAGAGGAAGACAAUCUCAGAAUUCAGGCAUCUGGUGGAGUGGAGAGAGCACUGAGCUGGUUGCUCAGCAGCUCUGGGUUCCAGUCUCUCUGCCUUUUUUGUUGAGUGUCCCUACCCAUUUCUAGGCCCCAGUAUCCUCAGCAACAAGGUGAGGGGCUUUGAUGAUCCCUAGGAAACAUUUCAGCUCUAUGAAGUCUGUGAUUGUGUGAUAGAAGAAAACAUUAGAACUGAAUAAGUAUAUUGAGUAAUGUCAAAAGGUUAAAAGAAAACAGACAUGCUCUAACAGGCCUCAAGGAGUUGACUUUGAGUUCCUUCAUUAAUAGGAAUAAUGAUGAUCAAGUAAGAAAACACACUCCCUGAUCUCAAGAAAUUUAGAGUCUAGGGCUCCUCUCUGGCUACCUGAAACAGCCAACUGGGCACAAAUUCAAAAUAAAAGGAACUGAGGCAAAAGGCCAG